GACAGAGGGUGCAAACGUUGUUCGGAAUUACUGGGCGUAAAGCGCGUGUAGGCGGCCCUGCAAGUCGGAUGUGAAAUCCCACGGCUCAACCGUGGAAGUGCAUUCGAAACUGCAGGGCUAGAGUCCUGGAGAGGAAGGUGGAAUGCUUGGUGUAGAGGUGAAAUUCGUAGAUAUCAAGCGGAACACCGGUGGCGAAGGCGGCCUUCUGGACAGUGGCUGACGCUGAGACGCGAAAGCGUGGGGAGCAAACAGG
rnacentral:rRNA from 1 species